CCCCUGCCCUGCCCCUUCUUAGGAGGCAGCACCACGUUCCUGCACUGGUGGCAACAGCUGUGAAAUGGCUUCCCCUGCUGGCCUGUGAGCUUCUCAGAAGCAGUGUCUGGGUGCGACUGUCCUCUUCCUUCCCCACUACAACCCAGCGCAGGUCCAGUCCUUGAUGGCACUAGGCUUCAGACACGGAGGAUUCAGCUGUGGCCCAACAACCUGAGCACCCUCCUAUCUUGGGCAGGGGCCUUGCCCACCUCAGGGCACUGGGCUCAGUCUCUGAUGGACUCAGAGGCCUUGCAAGAAAGAAACUGAGGUUCUUGGAACUGACGCCUCAGACAGCUUCCGGUGCCUGCUGUCAGAGAAACUGCCCCCAGCGAGAAAACAUCCUACUUCUAGCUUACCAAGAACAAGGCUGUCACCCAAACGCCUCCUCUUCCACCCAGCCUCCAUCCCAUCACUGGGGAUCCGUACUCCACACCUUGUCCCUGCCUUCGGCACUUGUUCCUCUCAGUCUAAUGGGACACACACAGGCUGGACUCCAACUCCUGAGCUCAAGCGACCUGCCUGCCUCAGUCUCCCAAGUAGCCAGGACCACAGGUGUGGCCCACAAGCCACCAUGCCCGCCUCACCUGUUUUUAAGACAGCAGUUGAAGCCAUCACUGCAGGCAGGAUGGCCUAGGAGUUGGAUUUGGGACAGGCAGAAAGGAGAAGAAGGGGAGCCUGCUUACCUCUUCUGGGAGCACCAGAGCCGGCUGCCCCUGGCUGAGCUCCACUCGGCGUUGCACGGCGGGAAUGUCUGCUUCUCUUGCAGUUGUAGUUUGUUGGCCUCCAAGCCUCUGGUGAUCGCAGCUUCUACCUGGGUCAGUGCCGGGGUGGGCAGCCCAUCCUCUCCGUAGAACCGUCCUGUCACCCUCCCUGUGACGACAGGAAGGCAGAUGUGAGUGAGAGUGAAUACUCAGCUGCUGAAGCAGGUGUGGGAAGGCACAAGUUCCCAGGGUUUCUGACUUCAGUCCUGCUGGUGCGUGUUUAAUAAGAACUUCUACUGCAGGCACUCCUGGUGCCUUGCACACCAACCUCUUAGCACCCUACAAGCCCCCACACAGCUGCAUCCCUCUUCUAGCUGCAGAGCCCUUCAGCACAGAAACCAUCAGACCUCUCUCACUUCCAGACAAGGCUUCCCCGAGGGCACAGCCAUGUGUGAUUCAUUUCUCCAUGCUUCCAUGUGCUUGGAGCACACGCUGGGUAUUCAAUUAAUGUUUGAUGAAUGAAUGGCUUAUUGGCUAACAUUUUUUAAAUGUUUAUUAUAAUAGAGAUGGGGGUCUCACUCUGUUGACCAGGCUAGUCUUGAACUUCUGGGCUCAAGCAAUCCUCCCACCUCAGCUUGUUGAGUAGAUGGGGGUACAGGUGUAAGUCACACUGUGCCCGGCUUUAAAAUGCCUGUCAGAAUUUGUAAAAGUCUAAGCUAUGGCAGCAGCCAGCAAGUGGUCCACCAGCCUACAGGCCAGAAGGAAAAACAGGUCAGUUCUCUCAGCCCAGGGUCCUAAUGUAGCCCAGUCCUGAGGUGCAAAUGGCCUUCAGAGGCAGCACCUGCCACAAGGCAAGAGAAGCAGAAAGGAAGCACUUGAGGGAGGUGCGACCGAAGAGGGAGCAACCCCUAAGAACUAGCUUCACCUUCGAUUCUAGUGGCGCAUAUGUUCAGCGCAUCUGAGAUUCAGCUCGUCUCCCAAGUCCAACGCCCUCCCUGACUUUCCCAAAUCCGUGUUGCCUCUAGCCUGUGACCUGGAUUAGGAGCCUGACUCCUCCUCCUCUACAUCCACAUCAUACUCCCUUCCUUGCUGUCUGAUCGGAUCCAUCAGAAAACCUCCUCAGUCCUACCUCUGAACAGAUCCUGAUUCUGUUCACUCCUUUCCAUUCCCACUGCCAUCACCCUCCUCCAAACCACGGACUGUGGCAGUGGCCUCCUAACUGCUCUCUGGUCAGCUCAUGCCCUCCUAGAGUUCUCUGUCCAUAAAACAACUAGGGGAUCUUUUAAAAACAUGAAUCCUACCAUGGCUCUCCGACGCCUGAUUAAAACCCUUCAAUGGCUUCUUAAAGCAGACAAAAAUGCAAAUUUCUUAUCAAGGCCUCUAAGGCCCUGUAACCAUUUAACUGAUUUGCUUCUUCAGCCUCUUACAAGCUACGUGCCCCCUCGUUCACGGGGGGCUCCAGCACACUGGCUUCCUUUCUGUGUCUUGGCUGUGCUUCCCCACUCCCCACCUUCGCACCGCUCUUCCCUGACCCAGCACACUCUCCUCAGGUCUCGGUGUGGCUGCCUCCCACUCACCUGCCGGUCUCAGCUUAACGGUCAUUUUCUCCAAGAAGCCACUCCUGAGCAUGUGCUCUAAAGGAGCCAAAGCUCCCAAACGUAUCACAUCACAGUUUGAUGCAUGGUCCUAUGUGGAGUUGUUCAAUCUCUUUACUUGUCUAUGAUGGCUCUCUCUACUAGUGAGGCCCAGUACUCAGAACAGCUUAGCGCCGGGCGCAGCGGCUCACACCUGUAAUCCCAGCACUUUGGGAGGCUGAGGCGGGCAGAUCACUUGAGGUCAGGGGUUCGAGACCAGCCUGGCCAACAUGGUGAAACCCUGUCUCUACUAAAAAUACAAAAAUUUGCUGGGCGUGGUGGUGCAUGCCUGUAAUCCCAGCUACCCAGGAGGCUGAGGCAGGAGAACUGCUUGAACCUAGAAGUUGGAGGUUGCAGUGAGCUGCAGUCGUGCCACUGCACUCCAGCCUGGGUGACAAAGCAAGACUCCAUCUCAAAAAAUAUAUAAAUAAAUAAAACAGCUUAGCAU